AGUGAACGCUGGCGGUAGGCCUAACACAUGCAAGUCGAACGGCAGCACAGUAAGAGCUUGCUCUUACGGGUGGCGAGUGGCGGACGGGUGAGGAAUACAUCGGAAUCUACUUUUUCGUGGGGGAUAACGUAGGGAAACUUACGCUAAUACCGCAUACGACCUACGGGUGAAAGCAGGGGAUCUUCGGACCUUGCGCGAUUGAAUGAGCCGAUGUCGGAUUAGCUAGUUGGCGGGGUAAAGGCCCACCAAGGCGACGAUCCGUAGCUGGUCUGAGAGGAUGAUCAGCCACACUGGAACUGAGACACGAUCCAGACUCCUACGGGAGGCAGCAGUGGGGAAUAUUGGACAAUGGGCGCAAGCCUGAUCCAGCCAUACCGCGUGGGUGAAGAAGGCCUUCGGGUUGUAUAGCCCUUUUGUUGGGAAAGAAAAGCAGCAGGUUAAUACCCCGCUGUUCUGACGGUACCCAAAGAAUAAGCACCGGCUAACUUCGUG
rnacentral:rRNA from 1 species